UACGUAGGGGGCAAGCGUUGUCCGGAAUUAUUGGGCGUAAAGAGCUCGUAGGCGGUGUGUCGCGUCGGCCGUGAAAACCUGCAGCUUAACUGUGGGCGUGCGGUCGAUACGGGCAUCACUGGAGUUCGGCAGGGGAGACUGGAAUUCCUGGUGUAGCGGUGAAAUGCGCAGAUAUCAGGAGGAACACCGAUGGCGAAGGCAGAUCUCUGGGCCGUAAACUGACGCUGAGGAGCGAAAAGCGUGGGGGAGCGAACAGG
rnacentral:rRNA from 1 species